GCAGAGUGUUGGCCUGAGGUCUCGGAGCCUGACCUGUCAGCUAGAGGUGGUGCUAGAGGCACAGAAAAGCCACUUUGUCCUUUAAAUAUCUUCGUGAGCUCUGCCUUGUGACAGCUAUGCUUUGUGCUUGGCGUCCAGGCUCCAGGAACGGUGGUGAGCAACGCAGGCUGGCCCUGCCCCAGGGGGACAUCCUCUGGAGGACACACCUAAGCCGGCAGCUCAAGGCCUGCAGCAUGUGCACUGGAAGGCAGGACUCCAGGGUGAUGAGCCGGUGCACACGAAGACGGACCACUGCAAAAGAGCAUGGGGACAGGCUGGACUCAGAGAUGUGCCUGUGGUCCAAGCUACUUGGGAGGCUGAGGAGGUGGACAUCUACACUGUCAAGGUGGGAGACCGGACGUUCACCUCCCGCUUCUGCCUGCAGGUGAAGCAGAAUGACUAUGUGCACGCCCUGGUGGCCUACUUCAAUAUCCAGUUAUAGAACUGAUAACAUCCCUUUCUCUGACUCUGCCCUCACUCUUCACUCUCUCUGGGUCUCUAACCCCCAUCUUGUGCCCUGACCCUCCUCGGUCUUUGUCUUUCCUCCUCCUUCUAGGACUCUGUCCCCCCUCAUUCCUGUGCUCCUCUGUCUGGGUCUCUGUCCGCUUCUCUGGGUGCCUGUUGCCCUCUGCUCUCUGGUUCCUCACCAUCCCGUCUCUGAUCUCCCUGGACUGAUGCAGACAUUGCUGUGUGGGCGGGACACCUCUCCUCGUCACAGGGCUCUAACAGUUUUCCCUUCCAGAAGGGCAUCCUGGCCAUUUCACCCGUGGACUUGAACUUGCCCGUGGACUGAGAUCUUCCUCAGAAGCUGCUACAAGAUUGGACCUCAUGUUGCUGCCCUCUUUGUGUACUUUUCCAAGCCUUCCUAUUCUACUCAGGGCUGUGAGGUGAUGGUUGUCCUUCCAAUUUUUGUCAAAAAUAAAUUGUUUAAAAAUUGUCAUAUUAAAAACAUUACAAAGUA